UGGGGAAUUUUGGACAAUGGGCGAAAGCCUGAUCCAGCAAUGCCGCGUGUGUGAAGAAGGCCUUCGGGUUGUAAAGCACUUUUGUCCGGAAAGAAAUCCUUGGCUCUAAUACAGUCGGGGGAUGACGGUACCGGAAGAAUAAGCACCGGCUAACUACGUGCCAGCAGCCGCGGUAAUACGUAGGGUGCAAGCGUUAAUCGGAAUUACUGGGCGUAAAGCGUGCGCAGGCGGUUUGCUAAGACCGAUGUGAAAUCCCCGGGCUCAACCUGGGAACUGCAUUGGUGACUGGCAGGCUAGAGUAUGGCAGAGGGGGGUAGAAUUCCACGUGUAGCAGUGAAAUGCGUAGAGAUGUGGAGGAAUACCGAUGGCGAAGGCAGCCCCCUGGGGCCAAAUACUGACGCUCAUGCACGAAAGCGUGGGGAGCAAAACAGGAUUAGAUACCCUGGUAGUCCACGCCCUAAACGAUGUCAACUAGUUGUUGGGGAUUCAUUUCCUUAGUAACGUAGCUAACGCGUGAAGUUGACCGCCUGGGGAGUACGGUCGCAAGAUUAAAACUCAAAUGAAUUGACGGGGUCAUAGCUG
rnacentral:rRNA from 1 species